GGCGCUGUUAGGCGUGCUGCUAAUUUCCCUGUUUCGGAAAUGUUAUGUUAACCGGAGAUGCCAUUGAUUUUUGUCUAAUUUCGAUACAAGCCCAAUGAUAUUGAACCUGCAUUGUUUGCACGGUAUCUUCAUGGUUUGUCAAGUUCUGUCGUCGAUGGUGUCGAGGUGUUUUGGAAGUCACA